rnacentral:lncRNA from 1 species
UAUAUAUUCUGAAUUUGGCCUUCUAGCCACCUGAAGAGCUUCGGUACCCAGGAUACAAGGGUUGUAUUGAGUUUUCUAUGUUAAAUGAUCGUAUCCUUAGCUUGUACAACUUUCAGCGUGCCAUCAACAUCACAAAAACUGACACGUGUCAAAGGGGAAAAGUUCACAUGUUGGGGGAUUAUUUCGAUGGCACAGGUUACGGAAAGGUUGCUGUAUCACGUGGGAACUCUGUUAUUAAGUUCCUUGUUAGGAGUCAUCAAAUGGAUGCAGUGCUUUUUUAUGUGGGAAGCGAGACCAUGCACUUCUUAGUUACAUUUGAAGGAGGCUAUAUUGUUUUGAAAGGAAAAAACAAUUACACAAAAAUUUUUGAAAAGUCAAAAUUAAAAGUAUUUCCCCUAACAAACUUCAUCCAUAUCAAAAUUAUUCUGAAUGACGAUAGACCAGCAACAAUAACCGACAACAUCAACAUUUUUUUUGGAAAAGUCAAAGGGUUUUUUGAGGAGGCCUACAUCGGGGGUGUUCCAGCUGCAGUCCGGGAAAAGUACUUUUAUUCUCUUUUAUGUUUGUUUAUUGGUGCACUUCUUCUGCUUUGCAUGAUUAUGGUUAAGGACAGAGGAAAAAGUGACCCAGACAUGUUUUCAUAA